GUAAUCAGUUGGAGGUGCCGAGGAUGACUCUUGCGUUUUGAGUUUAUAUGCAAGAUGGAGGGUAACGAGGCCAAGUUCGGCAGUGGGAAGGGAUCCUGAGAAGGUCCUGUUGAGUUUGAAGCGUCUUUGAGCCACCUACGUGUAGAUAUCAAUUCAAUGAUGGAAGGUGUGGGUCUGGAGCUCUGGGAAGUCAGGGCUGGCAAUACACAUAGCUAUCUUUCAGAUCAUUCAGAGCAUAAGGAUGGGCAUGUGAGAAGGCCUGGGGAUUUGACCCUGCCCCCUCCCUCUGGAGGGCGGAGGACCACUUAAGCUUUUAGCCAGGGAUCUGUGGGAAGCACACAGCCACACCGAGUAGAAAAAAAAAGGCUCCCUCCAUUGUUCCCUGAUCACUUCAUCGUGGAUGUCAGACCACAUUGCCUUCUCACAGGACAUCUUGGUACAUCCGUGUUCUCGAGCGGAAAGGACAUUUUGCUUUUCUGUUGGUGGGAUUGGUAGCUCCCAGAUGUCUGCGGCAGCACCCUGUCUGGUUUUGCCCCUGGUCUCACAAAUGUAUGUAUGUGGCCCUCCGAAGGAUCACCAGGUUACUUUCUAUGGAUACAGCCUCUCCUCCGUUGGGGAUUGGUUUUACGAAUAAAUGUCUUUGUUCAACCUUA